rnacentral:rRNA from 1 species
GACGAACCGUGCGAACGUUGCUCGGAAUCACUGGGCAUAAAGGGCGCGUAGGCGGCUUUUCAAGUCAGGGGUGAAAUCCGGCAGCUCAACUGUCGAAGUGCCCUUGAUACUGAUGAGCUCGAGGGAGGUAGGGGUAUGUGGAACUUCCGGUGGAGCGGUGAAAUGCGUUGAUAUCGGAAGGAACGCCGGUGGCGAAAGCGACGUACUGGACCUCUUCUGACGCUGAGGCGCGAAAGCUAGGGGAGCAAACGGG